UACGGAGGGGGCGAGCGUUAUUCGGAAUUAUUGGGCGUAAAGGGCGCGUAGCGGCCCGGUAAGUCAAAGGUGAAAUCCCUCGGCUCAACUGAGGAACUGCCUUUGAAAACUGUCGGGCUUGAGGCCGGGAGGGGGGUAGCGGAAUUCCCAGUGUAGCGGUGAAAUGCGUAGAUAUUGGGAGGAACACCGGUGGCGAAGGCGGCUACCUGGACCCGGUUCUGACGCUGAUGCGCGAAAGCGUGGGAUAGCAAACAAGGAGUU
rnacentral:rRNA from 1 species